rnacentral:rRNA from 1 species
GACGAACGCUGGCGGCGUGCUUAACACAUGCCAGUCGAACGCUGAAGCUCAGCUUUUGUUGGGUGGAUGAGUGGCGAACGGGUGAGUAACACGUGAGUAACCUGCCCCCUUCUUUGGGAUAACGCCCGGAAACGGGUGCUAAUACUGGAUAUUCACUGGCCUUCGCAUGGGGGUUGGUGGAAAGGGUUUUUCUGGUGGGGGAUGGGCUCGCGGCCUAUCAGCUUGUUGGUGGGGUGAUGGCCUACCAAGGCUUUGACGGGUAGCCGGCCUGAGAGGGUGACCGGUCACAUUGGGACUGAGAUACGGCCCAGACUCCUACGGGAGGCAGCAGUGGGGAAUAUUGCACAAUGGGCGCAAGCCUGAUGCAGCGACGCCGCGUGAGGGAUGGAGGCCUUCGGGUUGUGAACCUCUUUCGCUCAUGGUCAAGCCGCAACAAUGGUUGUGGUGAGGGUAGUGGGUAAAGAAGCGCCGGCUAACUACGUG